AACGAACGCUGGCGGCAGGCUUAACACAUGCAAGUCGAGCGCCCCGCAAGGGGAGCGGCAGACGGGUGAGUAACGCGUGGGAAUCUACCCAUCUCUACGGAAUAACGCAUGGAAACGUGUGCUAAUACCGUAUACGUCCUUCGGGAGAAAGAUUUAUCGGAGAUGGAUGAGCCCGCGUUGGACUAGCUAGUUGGUGGGGUAAAGGCCUACCAAGGCGACGAUCCAUAGCUGGUCUGAGAGGAUGAUCAGCUACACUGGGACUGAGACACGGCCCAGACUCCUACGGGAGGCAGCAGUGGGGAAUAUUGGACAAUGGGCGCAAGCCUGAUCCAGCUAUGCCGCGUGAGUGAUGAAGGCCCUAGGGUUGUAAAGCUCUUUCACCGGUGAAGAUAAUGACGGUAACCGGAGAAGAAGCCCCGGCUAACUUCGUGCCAGCCGCCGCGGUAAUAC
rnacentral:rRNA from 1 species